AACGCUGGCGGCGUGCCUAAUACAUGCAAGUCGAACGGUCUUUCUAUGGAAGCUUGCUUCCACUGAGAAGAUAGUGGCGAACGGGUGAGUAACACGUGGGUAACCUGCCCAUAAGAGGGGGGAUAACAUCCGGAAACGGGUGCUAAUACCGCAUAGUUUUCUUGAUCGCAUGAUCGGGAAAGGAAAGACGGCCUUUGUGCUGUCGCUUAUGGAUGGACCCGCGGCGUAUUAGUUAGUUGGUGAGGUAACGGCUCACCAGACGAUGAUACGUAGCCGACCUGAGAGGGUGAUCGGCCACAUUGGGACUGAGACACGGCCCAAACUCCUACGGGAGGCAGCAGUAGGGAAUCUUCCGCAAUGGACGAAAGUCUGACGGAGCAACGCCGCGUGAGUGAAGAAAGGUUUUCGGAUCGUAAAACUCUGUUGUCAGAGAAGAACAAGUUGGAGAGUAACUGCUCCAGCCUUGACGGUAUCUGACCAGAAAGCCACGGCUAACUACGUGCCAGCAGCCGC
rnacentral:rRNA from 1 species